rnacentral:rRNA from 1 species
AUGGCAAAUAGUACUUUAAUGAUCUGUUUGAAAAACAUUGUGAGGUCCAUCAUUGAGAUAUUCGAAGAAGAAUAUCUUCGAGCUCCAAAUGAUGAGGGCAUUGUAGACUUUCUUAGAUGGGUGAAUCGAAAGGCUUUCCCUUCAUGCUUGGAAGCAUUGAAUCCAUGCAUUGGAUGUGGAACCCUUGUCCUACAACAUUGUAUGGACAAUUCAAAGGAUAAGAUAGCAUUUUUUUGCAAGGCUUUCUGUUCGAGAGGCGCCUCCAGUGAAUUUAGAAAUCGAUGGGCGUCAAUGACAUGGGCUACUAUCUUGCUGAUGACAUAUAUAAUGCAUGGUUAA